rnacentral:rRNA from 1 species
UACGGGGGGGGCGAGCGUUGUUCGGAAUCACUGGGCGUAAAGGGCGCGUAGGCGGCCCGCACAAGUCUGCGGUGAAAACCCCCGGCUUAACCGGGGGCCGGCCGUGGAAACUGUCGGGCUAGAGGCCGGGAGAGGGCAGCGGAAUUCCCGGUGUAGCGGUGAAAUGCGUAGAGAUCGGGAGGAACACCGGCGGCGAAGGCGGCUGCCUGGACCGGCCCUGACGCUGAGGAGCGAAAGCGUGGGGAGCGAACAGG